UCAAAAACGAAUGGACAAGAACUGUCAUAUUCCUGACUUGGUACAGGCAUUUUCAAAUGUAGAAAAUGGUGGAUUAAACCUGGUUUUAUAGCGCUAACCCUCUCACUUUAAUGACAGUCUCAUCAAAUUCCGUUAUAUUUACAUUGAUGCGUUAAAUGAACAGACGCAAUAAAUAAAAUAGUCAAAAUAUGGGUACAACAGUCAUCAUCGUAUAACAAUUUUAAAAGGAAC
rnacentral:lncRNA from 1 species